GCCUUCUUGGCGCAGAUGGCAACGCGUAUCCCUAGUAAGGAUAAGAUCACCAGUUCGAUUCUGGUAGAAGGCA